CCGCUGUCGGCGGCACUGGCGGGGCGGCGGCGGGAGCGGGAGCCUGCCGAGCAAUUAUAGCAAGUCUGCUGCUCAGAUCAGAAUUAAAAUUAUGAUAUCAAACUGGCUUAGGUCUGUGAAGACUAUGCUGGUAUCAAGCUCCCUCUGACUUGCCUCCAGUUCUUGGGAGCAAAGGUACAGUUAACAGGGAACAGUACGUGAGUUCUGUACAGAGAUGAGCUAUCGAAAAGGUACUCCUGCAAAGUCAGUUCUCUUACCAGCUGCUAACUGGCUGUUGAUCAUUUCAACUUGCUACAAAAUAUGAAGCCACC